rnacentral:rRNA from 1 species
GAUGAACGCUAGCGGCAGGCUUAAUACAUGCAAGUCGAGGGGCAGCACGGUUAGCAAUAACUGGUGGCGACCGGCGCACGGGUGCGUAACACGUAUACAAUCUACCUUAAACAGGGGGAUAGCCUUUCGAAAGAGAGAUUAAUACCCCGUAAUAAAUUGAACGGCAUCGUUUGAUUUUGAAAGCUCCGGCGGUUUGAGAUGAGUAUGCGUCUGAUUAGCUAGUUGGUGAGGUAACGGCUCACCAAGGCGACGAUCAGUAGGGGAUCUGAGAGGACUAACCCCCCACACUGGUACUGAGACACGGACCAGACUCCUACGGGAGGCAGCAGUAAGGAAUAUUGGUCAAUGGAGGCAAACUCUGAACCAGCCAUGCCGCGUGCAGGAUGACGCCCUAUGGGUUGUAAACUGCUUUUAUACAAGAGAAAACCCUGGUACGUGUACCAGGUUGAUAGUA